UGCGGGGUAGAGCAGUCUGGUAGCUCGUCGGGCUCAUAACCCGAAGGUCGUUGGUUCGAAUCCAACCCCC
rnacentral:tRNA from 1 species